rnacentral:tRNA from 1 species
GCGUGGCUCAGUGGUUAGAGUAUUCGAUUCACGAUCGUAAGGUCGUCAGUUCGAUCCUUGACAGCGCA